rnacentral:rRNA from 1 species
AUUGAACGCUGGCGGCAGGCUUAACACAUGCAAGUCGAGCGGGGAAAAGUAGCUUGCUACCUGACCUAGCGGCGGACGGGUGAGUAAUGCUUAGGAAUCUGCCUAUUAGUGGGGGACAACAUUCCGAAAGGAAUGCUAAUACCGCAUACGCCCUACGGGGGAAAGCAGGGGAUCUUCGGACCUUGCGCUAAUAGAUGAGCCUAAGUCAGAUUAGCUAGUUGGUGGGGUAAAGGCCUACCAAGGCGACGAUCUGUAGCGGGUCUGAGAGGAUGAUCCGCCACACUGGGACUGAGAAACGGCCCAGACUCCUACGGGAGGCAGCAGUGGGGAAUAUUGGACAAUGGGCGAAAGCCUGAUCCAGCCAUGCCGCGUGUGUGAAGAAGGCCUUUUGGUUGUAAAGCACUUUAAGCGAGGAGGAGGCUACCGAGAUUAAUACUCUUGGAUAGUGGACGUUACUCGCAGAAUAAGCACCGGCUAACUCUGUGCCAGCCGCCGCAGUAA